CAUCUCUCAAAGAACACUCCAUCACUUCUCUCUCAUCUACCACUUGGUUGAAAUGAUUCCAGGUCACUUUCACAUGAGUUAUGGAACUCAACUAUAUAUAGAUGUGUCUCGGUGGAGCUAAUACUUGAGGCCAGCAAGGUAGACACGACUCUUUCAGUGAAGAAGAGCUAGAGCAUUCACAAAAAAAUGGCAUCACUCAAAGCUGAGAAACCCGUUGGCCACCAAGCACCAGGGCAGGUCAAGAAAGAGCCUGCCAAACCCAGCGAGAGCACACCCAAAGCUCCGGCCUCCAAGCCGGCCCCUAAGAAGGCUGAGCAGAAGCCACGAGAGCCUAAGAAGAAGGCAGCAGGAGCCAAGUAGAAUGAGGAUGACAAGGCAUGCGUGUGAAGGUUCCAUGAAGAUGUUAAUUCAUGCCGGUCCUCCUUGACGUUUAGCAGUAUUAUAUAUGGAAGUUGCUUGUGAUUUUAUAUCAAUGUCUGUCUUUUUAGGCUUGGCCUAAUAAAUAAAAUAUACAUAUUCCAAUAA